rnacentral:lncRNA from 1 species
CCAAAAUCACAUCUGGAGUGGAACCAACUCCAGGGUCAGGGCUUCCCAGGUUACAGUCCGUUAAGACUUAAGUCAUCAGAGGAAGGGGUGGGAUCAUCUGUCUCAAGACACGAGGAGCUCCGAGAUGGGAGUGGUGCUUAGCCAUUCUGACUUCAGUAGGACCAGAGAUGAUUGGGUGGGAUCUGUCUCCUCUGCUUCGAUGGAAAGUCUGAUGGGGCAGCAUAGAGCAGCCAGCCAGUGGCUGUAAGACAACCUGGAAAGGUGUCCUCAAUGAACUCACACUUUAGAGAACCAAGCUGCAGCCCAGUGACUCUUGAUCUACAUCUGCCUUGACUCACAAUGCCCCAGACAGGCUGCCACUGUGUAGCUAUGAUUGGCUUGGAACCACUAUAUAGACCAGUCUGGCCCAGAACAUACUGAAGUCCACCAUCCUCUGCCUCCUGAGUACUGGGAUUAAAGGUCUAUGCCACUACUACCCAGCCACGUUGGUCUCUUUUACUUUGCCCUUUAGAGUGGUCACUGACUGGAAUGGGUGGCUGGAGGAGAGGGAUGGUGGAGGCUAUAAUGAAACCCAGAAGGCUUGUAAGAUGGAGACUCAGAUGAGAACAAGUGAGGGGUUGGGAUGUAGUCUGUGGUACGGUGCUUUCUGAGCAUGCACAGGGCUUGAUCUUCAACAUGGGAAAAAAAAAAAGUUCAUGAGAUCUUGAGGAAGGCGGUGAUGUGGGAAUUCAGGUGUAGAAUGGAG